rnacentral:rRNA from 1 species
UACGAAGGGUGCAAACGUUGCUCGGAAUCAUUGGGCGUAAAGCGCACGUAGGCGCCUUGCAAGUCGGAUGUGAAAUCCCACGGCUCAACCGUGGACGUGCAUCCGAAACUGCUCGGCUCGAGUAUGGAAGAGGGUCGCGGAAUUCCCGGUGUAGAGGUGAAAUUCGUAGAUAUCGGGAGGAACACCAGUGGCGAAGGCGGCGACCUGGGCCAAUACUGACGCUGAGGUGCGAAAGCGUGGGGAGCAAACAGGGAU